GCUCAGGUGGCACAGCAGUUGUGCGUUCAGCUGCUAACUGAAAGGCUGGUGGUUUGAACCCACCAGCC
rnacentral:tRNA from 1 species